UUUACUGGGAGCCGCCAUUUUCCCACGUACUGCCGAACGUCGGGGGAGGGCUUCCUUUUCCUGCCUUCCGCGGAAAGGUCAAAAACGAUUCACAUUUUGAAGCCCUAAGACCCAGUGUGGCUCUAUUCAGAGAUGGGGCUCCUAAGUCUCAGGUAAUGGAUGUCCCACGAAAUGACCAUAUGCAACUCCAGGAACCUCCUCCUCGUCCUUUACUUGAUUUCUCUUGCUCCUCGAAGCCAGGACCUGUGGAGUGAAGAACACACCGAGAAGAAACACACAGGGAAGAUGAGACCAUGUGAAGACAGAAGCAGGCAUCAGUUAUGCUGCCACAAGCCAAGGAAUGCCUGGAGAAUCUGGCAGAAAAGGAGAAGGAAGUGAAUGGACAUUUGCAGGUAUGCUGGAGAUCCCUAAGAUGACGCCCAGAUUCAGUGAUUCCUUAGGACUCCCAAGAUUUAGCACAUAACUGAUUCAUUACCAUGAAAGUAUACAAGGCAAAAUCAGCAAAGGGAAAAGGUGUGGCAAAGUCUGGGGGAAAACGAGGCACAAGCUUCCAAGAGUCCUGUCUCCAUGAAGUCACAGAGGAUAUGCUCACUUCCCCAGCAACAAGUUGUGAUAACUCAUGUGAAAUGUGUUAGCUUAUUAGAGACUCGGUGCUCAUGGCUUUUAUGGGGGGGCUAUUCCUAGUACAUACCAAAAUUCCAGAAUCCCAGAGGAAGACAGGCGUUCAAGACAAACCAUAUUGUUUGAAAGAAGAGUCUUGGCACAGUGAGCCACUCCUGAUAGGGAAGAGUGGGAACCCUCCCAAAAUCUAAGUUCCCAGAUGCCAGGGAUGGCAUCUUAUCAGCAGGCCUUUCCAAGGAGAACAGUCUCAGGUCAGCUAUGUCAACUCUUUGCACAGCAAGGAGCCAAGAGUGUCUGCUACAGUAUAUUAAUACAUUAGAAAAGUCACAUGACCGCCAAAAUCAAUGCUGAGAAAAAUAUUUCAUAAAAAUCCAACAUCUAUUUCAAAUUUGAGCCCUGGGUGGGUUAGGAAUUCAUUAUUGCCUUAGCAUGAAAAAACAAAACACGACUUAUAGUUUUUAAAAAAAAUACA